ACUUAAUUAGUUUAUUGAGAAUGUUGAUUUGUGGAAUCGAAGGAGUAUAUUUGUAUAUAUGUAUUAGGUU
rnacentral:tRNA from 1 species